rnacentral:rRNA from 1 species
AUGGCAUCUGGCGUUACGACGACUCCCGAGAGGGUCAGCAGCUUCGAAGCAUCGGUGUGGGAUGCUUUCUUCAUCCAAUACGAGCCAGGCCCGCUGCCGAUAUCUGAAGAAUGCAUGCGUGUGAAAGAAGCCAAAUUGAAGGAGGAUGUACAGAUUUUGUUUAAGACAUUCAACAAUACUCCUUUAGAGAAAAUGACAUUUGUGGACACACUCGAACGUCUCGGAAUUGAUCACCUCUUUGAAGAACAUAUCAACACAGCGAUAAAUGAAAUCCACCAGAGUGAAUUCAAUAGUUGUAGCCUCUAUGAGGUUGCUCUUUGCUUUCGCUUGCUUCGGGAGCACGGGGUUUGGGUAUNNNNNNAUGUAUUCAAUAAAUUCAAGGCCGGAGAUGGGAGCUUCAACAAGGAUAUAACUGAUGAACCAAGGGCACUAUUAUUUUUAUACAACGCAGCUUAUCUUUCAAUCCACGGUGAAUCAGAACUUGAUGAAGCCAUUUCAUUUGCAAGGCAUCACCUUGAAUCCACGAGGGACAAUCUUGAGUACCCUUUAUCAGAGCAAGUCAAACGAAACCUUGAGAUACCAUAUCCAAGGACACUGAAGAGAAUAGAUGCGCCAUAUUACAUUGCAGAGUAUGGACAAGAGCAAACAUGCAACCCUUCUGUGCUUGAGCUUGCAAAGCUCAACUUUAAUCUUUUGCAGUGUGUUCACCAGAGGGAGCUCAAGGAUUUUUGUCGGUGGGGAAACGAUCUCUAUGAAGAAGUGGAACUAAGCUACUCUCGGAAUCGUAUAGUUGAAUGCUACUUCUGGUCCUACACUGUGCACUAUGAGCAACAGUAUGGACAUGCACGAAUAAUCCUUGCAAAGGUAUUUGUGCUGACAUCCAUGUUAGAUGACACUUUCGAUAUGCAUGCUACCUUGGAAGAGGCUGAAAAGCUCACCGAAGCCAUACAAAGAUGGGAUGAGAGCGCUGUUUUUCUAUUACCAGAGUACUUGAGAAAGUUCUAUGUCAGGUUGAUGAAUACCUUCGUAGAGAUCGAACAUGAACUGAAACCCGAUCAUAAGUACCGUGUUGCUUAUUGUAGGAAAGCGAUACAAACUUUGUGUAGGUCUUACCAACAGGAAUCUGAAUGGUUUCAUAACAGUUACAUACCAAGCUUUGAAGAUCACCUCAAGUGCUCGCUAAUCUCUUCAGCUAUUGCGAUGCUAUCUGUUGUUUUACUUGUUGGUAUGGGUGACGAAGCAACAAAGGAAGCGUUCGAGUGGGCCAUCGGUUGCACCGAUGCUGUAAUGGCUGGCAGUGUUGUGGCACGUUUGGUGAAUGACAUGACUUCAUUUAAGUGUGGAAAGAACAAGAAGGAUGUGGCCAGCUCUGUGGAUAGCUAUAUCAACCAGUACCACGUUACGGGUGAGGUAGCUUUCGCUGUGCUGGAUAAUAUGGUUGAAGAUGCAUGGAAAACUACCAAUCAGACACGAUUUGACCGUCGUGAGAUGCUCCCACUUGUAGAACGAGUCGCGAGAAUGACCAAGAGCAUGGUCUUCACGUAUCAUCACAAGAAGGACCGCUACACAUUCGGCCGUCUGAACAAAGAUAGGGUCAAGCAGCAGUUUGUCGACCCAAUUCCCCUCUAG